UCGCCGGUGGUGUAAGGCGAACAUCGCUGCCCGGAAAGCAGAAGAUACGGGUUCGAGUCCCGCCUGGCGCA
rnacentral:tRNA from 1 species